rnacentral:rRNA from 1 species
UCGAACGGCAGCACGGGGCAACCUGGUGGCGAGUGGCGAACGGGUGAGUAAUAUAUCGGAACAUACCCUAGAGUGGGGGAUAACGUAGCGAAAGUUACGCUAAUACCGCAUACGACCUAAGGGUGAAAGUGGGGGAUCGCAAGACCUCAUGCUCAUGGAGCGGCCGAUAUCUGAUUAGCUAGUUGGUGGGGUAAAGGCUCACCAAGGCAACGAUCAGUAGCUGGUCUGAGAGGACGACCAGCCACACUGGAACUGAGACACGGUCCAGACUCCUACGGGAGGCAGCAGUGGGGAAUUUUGGACAAUGGGGGCAACCCUGAUCCAGCAAUGCCGCGUGAGUGAAGAAGGCCUUCGGGUUGUAAAGCUCUUUUGUCAGGGAAGAAACGGUUGGGGCUAAUAUCCCCGGCUAAUGACGGUACCUGAAGAAUAAGCACCGGCUAACUACGUGCCAGCAGCCGCGGUAAUACGUAGGGUGCAAGCGUUAAUCGGAUUUACUGGGCGUAAAGCGUGCGUAGGCGGUCUUUUAAGUCGGAUGUGAAAUCCCUGAGCUUAACUUAGGAAUUGCAUUCGAUACUGGGAGACUAGAGUAUGGGAGAGGAUGGUAGAAUUCCAGGUGUAGCGGUGAAAUGCGUAGAGAUCUGGAGGAAUACCGAUGGCGAAGGCAGCCAUCUGGCCUAAUACUGACACUGAGGUACGAAAGCAUGGGGAGCAAACAGGAUUAGAUACCCUGGUAGUCCAUGCCGUAAACGAUGUCUACUAGCCGUUGGGGCCUUUGAGGCUUUAGUGGCGCAGCUAACGCGAUAAGUAGACCGCCUGGGGAGUACGGUCGCAAGACUAAAACUCAAAUGAAUUGACGGGGGCCCGCACAAGCGGUGGA